ACUAGUGGGGUGGAGGGAUUUUGCAAAAUCCACGCCUCCGGGAAGGGAAACAGGGGACCACAAAAUAAUUAAAAACAGCGGCAAUGAUCUGAGGAGAAACAAACUAAUUUACUAAAUAUAGUAUCGGAAUGUAAGAUAACACACUAUAAUACAAUAUAAAUCAAAAGUAAUUGAGAGAAAGAUUGUCCGAGAGCCAAAGGCCUUACGCUAGUACUGAAGCCUUGCAUGCAGUCAGGAGCAGGAGUAGUGAGCCGAUCCGACAGGGAACACGGCAAGACGAGAAGAGGGCCGAGUCAGAUGACCUGCGCCCUUAUAUCUGUUCCCUUGAGCAGAAAUGAUAACAGUAUUCAAAAAGGCUCUUGGGGAACGUAGUUCUUCUUUUCUUCCAGACAGGUACCCAGAACUAAAGCAUUUGCUCUUUAACUCCCAGUACACUGCAUGAUGUUGUGAUGUGGAAUACUGAUAACCAAAAAUCAUAAAACCAUGACAAACCUUCUCUGGGACCAUUAAAGAGCUAGCCUCCAAAAGGAGAAUAUUUUCUGGACAAAGACUAUUUUCUGAGAAGGAGUGUUUUACAGUUAGAGAGCCUUAUCACCAGAUGAGAAAGUCAAUUUUUUCUUAUGCACGAUCAUUGGUAUUGCAAAGAACUUGUCAGAAACAGUUAUACUGCUUCCUAGGACCAACAGAAGGAGUGCCCCUCUGCUGCUAUAUGUUGCAUGGCAACAAAAUUUAAUUGAAUAUUGGCGAAGAAAUUCUGCCUCUACUGCCAUACUGCCACCAUCUAUUUCUAGUCGAAAGAGUACAGCUAAAUUCCAAGUAUUAUAACCUCCCUGCAUUUAAUGGAAUGAGGGAAAUAAAUGCUUUUGCCUCUCUUGCGAGGGAAGAAAUAAGGUACAGUUGCAUAACUUUGUAACAAGGUAUGUUUAGAGUGAAGAGGUUUUUUGGAACAGAAUAAAAUGUCGAAGAGGCUCAAUUAUUGAGGCUAGAAUAGAUGCCCAGACUUCUGCACUUGUGUAAUUCACUGCAAGAUUAAGCAACUGCUACCAGCUCCUUUUUCCUGUUCCAUCUAUUUUUCUCUUCUUGGGCACUCUGACUGUAGCACUGAUUGGAUUGUUUACAGGAUAAGACAGCAAGUACAAAGUUUUCUGGAGAGUCUUUACUGCAAACUGAGUAAGUCUGAUGCAUCAGGUUUGUUGAAUAUGCAGAUUGAAGAUAAAAACAAUUAUUUUAGUACAUGCACAAUUUGUCAUUUCAGAAGUCUGAUAGCUCAUGCUGUGGAAUGUCUGGGGAAAAAAAACAUCUAAGUAACACAAAAACAUAAGGAAAGCCAUGGAACACAGGAUUUUGAUGUCUUCUGUGGGACAAUGCCUUGACUGAUGGAUUUUGGGAAACAGGGAGGAGGGUCAAACCAGAGAGGAGAUCUUUCUGUGUAAUUUCCGUAUACAGUCAUAGAACUGGGACUCUUUUUCCUAAACUGGAAGAAGAAUGGAGGGCUGGAAGCGGUAAAUACAGUUUUCAAAUUAGAGUACUUGCAGCAUACUCUCAUUCUCGAAGGUCAUCAGCUUUUUCUUAUUCUUACUGGUUAUUUACAUGAUUGUAUUUCUGAAUGUGUAACAUACUCAAGUGGUAUUUAAUGAUAUAUGAGUAUAUUCCAGUUGUAUAUUUUGGUGCACCAAUACUUCCAAAAAGAGCUUUUUUGUAAGCCUGAAAUAUUAUUUAAAAAUAAAUAAAU
ensembl:lncRNA